rnacentral:rRNA from 1 species
ACUCCUACGGGAGGCAGCAGUGGGGAAUUUUGGACAAUGGGCGAAAGCCUGAUCCAGCAAUGCCGCAUGAGUGAAGAAGGCCUUCGGGUUGUAAAGCUCUUUUGUCAGGGAAGAAACGGUGAAAGCUAAUAUCUUUUGCUAAUGACGGUACCUGAAGAAUAAGCACCGGCUAACUACGUGCCAGCAGCCGCGGUAAUACGUAGGGUACAAGCGUUAAUCGGAAUUACUGGGCGUAAAGCGUGCGCAGGCGGUUUUGUAAGUCUGAUGUGAAAUCCCCGGGCUCAACCUGGGAAUUGCAUUGGAGACUGCAAGGCUAGAAUCUGGCAGAGGGGGGUAGAAUUCCACGUGUAGCAGUGAAAUGCGUAGAUAUGUGGAGGAACACCGAUGGCGAAGGCAGCCCCCUGGGUCAAGAUUGACGCUCAUGCACGAAAGCGUGGGGAGCAAACAGGAUUAGAAACCCGAGUAGUCCCAUGAU